UACAGAGGUCCCAAGCGUUGUUCGGAUUCACUGGGCGUAAGGGUGCGUAGGCGGUCGGGUAAGUCUGAUGUGAAAUCUCACAGCUUAACUGUGAAACUGCAUUGGAUACUAUUCGGCUUGAGAGUUGGAGGGGGACUGGAAUUCUUGGUGUAGCAGUGAAAUGCGUAGAUAUCAAGAGGAACACCAGUGGCGAAGGCGAGUCCCUGGACAACUUCUGACGCUGAGGCACGAAAGCUAGGGGAGCAAACAGG
rnacentral:rRNA from 1 species